AGCACUUCGAAGAUUCAUGUUGUAAGAAGUAUCCUACGUCAAGAGACAUGGUGAAGACCUCAAGCAGAGGUUCAGCCUGGCCAGCUGCCAUCUCUCCCGGAUGCAGAGUGGGCUAAAGGCCCAGAGACGAGCGGGGACAGCCAGCAGGCUGGAGGCCUGAACCGAGCGGGACAGUUGUUGGACUGGGACCAGUGCAGGCGGUCAACAGCUUGCAAGCCGGGUCAGACCACGUAUAGAAGCCUCCUGCACUGACCUACUGCAGGCCCUUCAUAGAAAGGCUGUAAUGCUUAUCUUUUUGACUUCAUUUCUCAUUUUUCUACUUAUACUAUAACAAUGUAAUGUAGCUUUUUCCUUUUUUCCUUUAUUUCUCUAUUUUCUAUCUAAGACCCAUACCUAGGUACUUUGUACCCAAGAUGGCGCCAUGUGAGGCAACAUUGCAAACUUUUCACUGUACCCCUGUACUUCCAUACUUGAGUACAUGUGACAAUAAGGGAUAUUCCAUUCUAGAUCACCAAAUAUACCAGGAGAUCACUUCUCAAAAGUAGCAAUAAAGAUAGACAUAUGUAUAAAUAUUGUAAGUUUUUUUUUUAAAAUAAUCUGAUUGUUUUGAAUAAUUUGUUUAUGGUGUAGAAUGCAGGUCCGACAGGGCAUUACAAAAAAUGUAAUGUAAUGGACACAGGCAUCGGUAGCAUGGCAUCUUGCAGUUACAAAGGGAGCACACUCAGUUUUUAAGAGAGCUCUAAAUCAAUGGUAUUAAAACCAGACAGUUUUUGUAUAACAGUUGAACAUACCAAAUACACAAGUCAUGUUUACUGCCAUUUACUAAUUGUAUCUCCUGAAAUCUGAAGCUUCACAAAUGUAUAGAUACAUGAAAUGGAAACCUUCACAUUUAUAUGAAAUUUCAUGAUGUCAUCA